rnacentral:rRNA from 1 species
UACGUAGGGUGCAAGCGUUGUCCGGAAUUAUUGGGCGUAAAGAGCUCGUAGGCGGUCAGUCGCGUCUGCUGUGAAAACUCGGGGCUUAACUCCGGGCCUGCAGUGGGUACGGGCUGACUAGAGUGCGGUAGGGGAGACUGGAAUUCCUGGUGUAGCGGUGAAAUGCGCAGAUAUCAGGAGGAACACCGGUGGCGAAGGCGGGUCUCUGGGCCAGUGACGCUGAGAGCGAAAGCGUGGGUAGCGAA